AUGCGAAUCAAUCCAUCUGGCGGAGUCAGCUUAGACUCUUGCAUUCAUAGUCUAUGUUUUGCUGAAACGUUGUCACAGUUUCUCCUGUGCAGGCAAGUGUCAACCCGACGUAUGAAACUUCGACGUCGUGCCUACCUCAUUUUUGGUUCAGGCAGGAUCACACAGUUUAUACACGAGAACUAUACAUUUGGUUUUGAAUAUAGCUUACACUACCUCCGGAGGAGGAAUGACAACUGUUGUCUACAUGCAGGCACCUGAAUGGAAAAUCUGAUCCAAGUGUAGACCUUAUUUUUAUUUGUUGACAUGCACUUUCCUUUUUUAAAGGUCUAGAAGUGAAGCGCUUCAAGGUAGUUGUGGUUUAGCACAUUUUUUGCUGCAAUACCACAGCAUUUCAUUUCAGACUCACACUUUGAGACUGUUCCUGGUCGCUUGAUGGAGCCACAGCCAAAGAACCCACGGCUUACCUCUGACGUUCGAAGUACCAUUAAAUCAUCCCUGAUUAAAUCAUCAAGCUAAGAUACCAACAUGAACAGAGUAUCUACACAACUUCAAGGGCUUUAAAAUAUAAACGAGGCACCAAAAGACAGAUACCAACUGUGAUAUUGUUUUGAAAGUGAAAUGUUCAAUGUGGAUGGGUGUGUCUGAAUUAGGAUGGAACACAACAUAGCCUAAAUGGAAGCCUCAAUUUCCGCCUCAAUUAAAGUCCCAUUUUAGAGUGAAUACCACCUAGUGCAUUAUCAGAUGGCAGCCCUGUAUCCAUAUAGGGCCACAGUCCAACGUCUAAUGAGUAGGCUACCUGGGUCAAGAUUUGUUGCCAAUAAAGUGGAGUAGAGCCAAGAUUUUGGCUCUACUUAACCUACCUUAUUAGAGGUAGGUUUAGGCAGAGUCCCGAAAUAAUAAACCUAAAUCCAAUGUAAUCCAAUUUAAAAAAGGACAAUAGAAACAAGACGAGACAGUACAUUAAUAUCAUGCGACCAAACCAUCGCAAUUGCACUGUACGGCCACAAGAUGGAGAUAAAGACAGUGUGUUCUUAGAAAAGCAAUGUUGGCCUACCUAUUUUCUAUCUAUCUUAGC
rnacentral:lncRNA from 1 species